GACGAACGCUGGCGGCGCGCCUAACACAUGCAAGUCGAACGAGCGAUAGAGAGCUUGCUUUCUCGAGCGAGUGGCGAACGGGUGAGUAACGCGUGAGGAACCUGCCUCAAAGAGGGGGACAACAGUUGGAAACGACUGCUAAUACCGCAUAAGCCCACGGCUCGGCAUCGAGCAGGGGGAAAAGGAGCAAUCCGCUUUGAGAUGGCCUCGCGUCCGAUUAGCUAGUUGGUGAGGUAACGGCCCACCAAGGCAACGAUCGGUAGCCGGACUGAGAGGUUGAACGGCCACAUUGGGACUGAGACACGGCCCAGACUCCUACGGGAGGCAGCAGUGGGGAAUAUUGCACAAUGGGGAAACCCUGAUGCAGCGACGCCGCGUGGAGGAAGAAGGUCUUCGGAUUGUAAACUACUGUUGUUGGGGAAGAUAAUGACGGUACCCAACAAGGAAGAGACGGCUAACUACGUG
rnacentral:rRNA from 1 species